UAGGUACCCCAGAAUCCAAAAGAGGAAAAGAAUCCAGCUCGAAUAGAAGGAGUAUAGAUUUAAAAAUUUGUGAAGGUGCCGUGUCGGUUUGGCGUAGGUGGACACCAAAGCUCAUAAGAACAAGCUGAUUGGUACAAUGUUAGCAAAUAAAAGGUCCUCCAUACAUUGGUGAUGGCACUUCUGUGAGGUAAGAUGAGAGUUCCAUCCAUGAUUAUCAGUAUUGCUGGUGACAGAUAUCAUGUUCAUGUGAGGCAUGCUGUGGGAACUUUGAGUUGAUAAUGGAGGCUGUUCAUUUGAAACCGAAGUUGGUUCCUGCUUGAACUAUCUUAUAGCUUCAAGUACCCAAUUAAUCAAAACUUACCAAU